GUCCUUCAGAAGAGUCAGUGUAUAAGGUGUACAGGUGUGUACAGGUCUCUAUAGGUGUGUACCGGAUGUGUACAGGUGUGUACAGGUGUAUAUGGGUGUAUACCCGAUUGUGUUCAGGUGUGUACAGGUGUGUUCAGGUGUGUUCAGGUGUGUACAGGUGAGUACUGGUCUUUAUGGGUGUGUACAGGUGAGUACAGAUGUGCACAGGUGUGUACAGGUGUAUAUGGGUGUGUACCCGAUUGUGUUCAGGUGUGUUCAGGUGUGUACAGGUGUGUACAGGUGUGUACCGGAUGUGUACAUGUGUGUACAGGUGUGUACAGGUGUGUCAGAGGCGGUGGAAGGUG